GUGGGGAAUUUUGGACAAUGGGCGCAAGCCUGAUCCAGCAAUGCCGCGUGCAGGAAGAAGGCCUUCGGGUUGUAAACUGCUUUUGUACGGAACGAAACGGUCCGGGUUAAUACCCUGGGCUAAUGACGGUACCGUAAGAAUAAGCACCGGCUAACUACGUGCCAGCAGCCGCGGUAAUACGUAGGGUGCAAGCGUUAAUCGGAAUUACUGGGCGUAAAGCGUGCGCAGGCGGUUUUGUAAGACAGGCGUGAAAUCCCCGGGCUCAACCUGGGAAUUGCGCUUGUGACUGCAAGGCUGGAGUGCGGCAGAGGGGGAUGGAAUUCCGCGUGUAGCAGUGAAAUGCGUAGAUAUGCGGAGGAACACCGAUGGCGAAGGCAAUCCCCUGGGCCUGCACUGACGCUCAUGCACGAAAGCGUGGGGAGCAAACAGGAUUAGAUACCCUUGUAGUCC
rnacentral:rRNA from 1 species